rnacentral:rRNA from 1 species
CCCUACGGGGCGCAGCAGUGGGGAAUAUUGCACAAUGGGGGGAACCCUGAUGCAGCGACGCCGCGUGGGUGAAGGAGUACUUCGGUGCGUAAAGCCCUAUCAGCAGGAAAGAAAAUGACGGUACCUGACUAAGAAGCCCCGGCUAACUACGUGCCAGCAGCCGCGGUAAUACGUAGGGGGCAAGCGUUAUCCGGAUUUACUGGGUGUAAAGGGAGCGUAGACGGCAGUGCAAGUCCGGAGUGAAAGCCCGGGGCUCAACCCUGGGACUGCUCUGGAAACUGUAUAGCUGGAGUGCGGGAGGGGCG